GUUAUUUGUAAGUGUUUGAAAAGAACCAGACUGGAGACAAUAGUAAAUGAAACUUCCAAAGAAAUGUGUUAAGAUUAAAUAAAGACUUGACAUUUCUUUAUUUCUUUCUAUUGUAUUUUGCAGUUCGGAAGGGACCACUUGGAGGAAAAAAAGGAAUCACACACCUCAGCAACCACUGGAUGGUCAGGAAUUUAUUUAAAAAAAAUCAGAUGCAUGGGUAAAUCGAUAGAUGUUCUUCCAAGAUGAAGAAGUGGUGGUUGGUAUAGGUAAUAAUUAACCUUGCCUGUGUCAGAUUUUCUUUUUAGCUAAUGGAGAGAGAGAGCAGGCAGAAGAGAAAGAUUCACAAGAGCAUUGGUGGACAUUUCUCUAAAAAAUUAUGAAGAAAAGCAGAUAGGGCUUUGUCAGUACUGUCUAUACAUUCCUAUACUAUGCUGUUGAGUGUACAAGUGCAUAAGUACAUAGUGUAUAAGUUCAUAAUGUAUAGUGUUUGUCUUUUGCAGGUUGGAGGGGAACAGAAGGAGACUCACAGGGGCCAGGAUGGAUAUGUAUUUGAAGACCAGGAGCUCAGGAAACAGAUCGCACUGGACCACAUAGAGAAAAAAGGAAUCACACACCUCAGCAACGACUGGAUGGUUAGGAAUUUAUUUUUUAAAAAUCAGAUGGAUGAUUGAAUUGAUGGAUGUUCUUCCAAGAUGAAGGAGUGGUGGUUGGUAUAGGUAGUAAUUAGGCUUUGUCUGUGUCAGGUUUUUUUUUCAGGUGAUGGAGAGAGAGCAGGCAGAAGAGGGAGACUCACAAGAACAUCGCUGGAGAACAGCAGGUAGGGCUCUGUCAUUGCUGUCUACAGGUGCUUCCCAAAUCGCAUAUACACUAUUCUGUGCCAUU
rnacentral:lncRNA from 1 species